rnacentral:lncRNA from 1 species
GCCGUGACGUGGUGCCGCUGAGCUUGGACCCCGACCAGAAGAUAGAGAUUGAAACGAUGAGGAAAACGAAGUGCCUAAUCCCCGCUGGACGCUAACUGCAGGGCAAGCUCCCCAGUGUUGUAGUUGUGUUUCGGAGGCCGAGAACCGCUAUCGGGCUUCCUCGGACUCUGGCCCUGGAGGGGGGAAACGGCGAGGGAGAAGGCGAAACGAGUCUCCAGUGUGUUCUUGGGGCCUGGUGCGAGGCCCAGAGAAUUCUCUGCAGGCCUUUGCCCGGGCACUGAUUAAGGCUGCGAAGAGACGCACCGGGCUGCGGGCUUAGUAGCUUCAGGCUUCUGAAGUCAGAGGGAGGGCUGAGAGCUUACACUUCUGGAGCUCCCCGGGAGACGGCAACUACCCAACCGUGUGGGUGUGUUUGUCACCCAGAAAUACUCUCCACACCAUGCUGCACUGCUGCGGAUGAGGGAAGGAUGGUGUCGGGGCUUCAAGACUGUUUUUCCUACCUCUUCAGUGCCUCUUUCAGUGAUAUGAAGUUAAAACCAG